rnacentral:rRNA from 1 species
UACGGAGGGUGCAAGCGUUAAUCGGAUUUAUUGGGUGUAAAGGGCGUCUAGGCGGGACAUUAAGUCUGUUGUGAAAUUUCGGAGCUCAACUCCGGAGCUGCAAUGGAAACUGGUGUUCUUGAGGGUAGUUGGAGAGAAUAGAAUUCCACAAGUAGCGGUGAAAUGCGUAGAUAUGUGGAAGAAUACCGGUGGCGAAGGCGAUUCUCUAAAUUACACCUGACGCUGAAGCGCGAAAGCAAGGGUAGCGAACAGG